rnacentral:rRNA from 1 species
AGAGUUUGAUCCUGGCUCAGGAUGAACGCUGGCGGCGUGCAUAACACAUUCAAGUCGAACGGAGAGAAGCUUACGGGUUUCUCUUAGUGGCGGACGGGUGAGUAACGCGUGAGCAACCUGCCUUAAUGAGGGGGAUAACACAGGGAAACCGGUGCUAAUACCGCAUAACACAAAGCUGUGGCAUCACAGUUUUGUCAAAGAAGCAAUUCGCAUUAAGAUGGGCUCGCGUCUGAUUAGAUAGUUGGUGAGGUAACGGCCCACCAAGUCAACGAUCAGUAGCCGGACUGAGAGGUCGAACGGCCACAUUGGAACUGAGAUACGGUCCAGACUCCUACGGGAGGCAGCAGUGGGGAAUAUUGGGCAAUGGGGGAAACCCUGACCCAGCGACGCCGCGUGAGGGAAGAAGGUCUUCGGAUUGUAAACCUUUGUCGACAGGGACGAAACAAAUGACGGUACCCUAGGAGGAAGCCCCGGCUAACUACGUGCCAGCAGCCGCGGUAAUACGUAGGGGGCAAGCGUUGUCCGGAAUUACUGGGCGUAAAGAGCGUGUAGGCGGUUGGAAAAGUCAGGUGUGAAAUUCUUCGGCUCAACCGGGGGACUGCGCCUGAAACUUUCCGACUGGAGUUUGGGAGGGGCAACUGGAAUUCCUGGUGUAACGGUGAAAUGUGUAGAUAUCAGGAGGAACACCCGUGGCGAAGGCGGGUUGCUGGACCAAAACUGACGCUGAGACGCGAAAGCGUGGGUAGCAAACAGGAUUAGAUACCCUGGUAGUCCACGCCGUAAACGAUGAUCACUCGCUGUUUGCGAUACACAGCAAGCGGCCAAGCGAAAGCAUUAAGUGAGCCACCUGGGGAGUACGAUCGCAAGGUUGAAACUCAAAGGAAUUGACGGGGGCCCGCACAAGCGGAGGAGCAUGUGGUUUAAUUCGAUGAUACGCGAGGAACCUUACCUGGGCUCGAACGUAUAGGGAAUUAUGCCGAAAGGUAUAAGCCAGCAAUGGCCGUAUACGAGGUGCUGCAUGGUUGUCGUCAGCUCGUGCCGUGAGGUGUUAGGUUAAGUCCUGCAACGAGCGCAACCCUUACCUUUAGUUGCCAGCAUGUAAUGAUGGGGACCUAAAGGAACUGCCUACGCAAGUAGUGAGGAAGGUGGGGAUGACGUCAAAUCAGCACGGCCCUUAUGUCCAGGGCGACACACGUGCUACAAUGGCCGAUACAAAGGGCAGCUACCAGGUGACUGGAUGCGAAUCUUUAAAAUCGGUCUCAGUUCGGAUCGGAGUCUGCAACUCGACUCCGUGAAGUCGGAUUCGCUAGUAAUCGCGCAUCAGCCAUGGCGCGGUGAAUACGUUCCCGGGCCUUGUACACACCGCCCGUCAAACCAUGGGAGCUGGGGGUGCCUGAAGUCUGCCACCGCAAGGAGCGGCCUAGGGUAAAACCAGUGACUGGGGUUAAGUCGUAACAAGGUAACCC